GACGGAAGGUGCAAGCGUUGCUCGGAAUCACUGGGCGUAAAGGGUGCGUAGGCGGCCGUGCAAGUCUGGCGUGAAAGCCCCGGGCUCAGCCCGGGAAGUGCGCUCGAAACUGCGCGGCUCGAGUGCCGGAGGGGAGAGUGGAAUUCCUGGUGUAGCGGUGAAAUGCGUAGAUAUCAGGAGGAAUACCGGUGGCGAAAGCGACUCUCUGGACCUGUCCUGACGCUCAGGCGCGAAAGCUAGGGGAGCGAACAGG
rnacentral:rRNA from 1 species